UAUAGAGGUUCUCUGACGGUUCUAUAGCGGUUCUCUGACGGUUCCGUAGAGGUUCUCUGACGGUUCUACAGAGGUUCUCUGACGGUUCUAUAGCGGUUCUCUGACGGUUCUAUAGAGGUUCUCUGACGGUUCUGUAGAGGUUCUCUGACGGUUCCGUAGAGGUUCUCUGACGGUUAUAUAGAGGUUCUCUGACGGUUCUAUAGAGGUUCUCUGACGGUUCUAUAGGUUCUCUGACGGUUCUAUAGAGGUUCUCUGAUGGUUCCAUAGCGGUUCUAUAGCGCUUCCGUAGAGGUUCUCUGACGGUUCUGUAGAGGUUCUCUGACGGUUCUGUAGAGGUUCUCUGACGGUUCUAUAGAGGUUCUCUGACGGUUCCGUAGAGGUUCUCUGACGGUUCUAUAGAGGUUCUCUGACGGUUCUAUAGCGGUUCUCUGACGGUUCUAUAGAGGUUCUCUGACGGUUCCGUAGAGGUUCUCUGACGGUUCUAUAGAGGUUCUCUGACGGUUCUAUAGCGGUUCUCUGACGGUUCUAUAGAGGUUCUCUGACGGUUCUAUAGCGGUUCUCUGACGGUUUCGUAGAGGUUCUCUGACGGUUCUAUAGAGGUUCUCUGACGGUUCUGUAGAGGUUCUCUGACGGUUCCGUAGAGGUUCUCUGACGGUUCUGUAGAGGUUCUCUGACGGUUCUAUAGCGGUUCUCUGACGGUUCUAUAGAGGUUCUCUGACGGUUCUGUAGAGGUUCUCUGACGGUUCUAUAGAGGUUCUCUGACGGUUCCGUAGAGGUUCUCUGACGGUUCUAUAGGUUCUCUGACGGUUCUAUAGAGGUUCUCUGAUGGUUCCAUAGCGGUUCUAUAGCGCUUCCGUAGAGGUUCUCUGACGGUUCCGUAGAGGCUCUCUGACGGUUCUGUAGAGGUUCUCUGACGGUUCCAUAGGUUCUCUGACGGUUCUAUAGGUUCUCUGACGGUUCCAUAGGUUCUCUGACGGUUCUAUAGGUUCUCUGACGGUUCUAUAGAGGUUCUCUGAUGGUUCUGUACAGGUUCUCUGACGGUUCUAUAGAGGUUCUCUGACGGUUCUGUAGAGGUUCUCUGACGGUUCUGUACAGGUUCUCUGACGGUUCUAUAGAGGUUCUCUGACGGUUCUAUAGAGGUUCUCUGAUGGUUCUGUACAGGUUCUCUGACGGUUCUAUAGAGGUUCUCUGACGGUUCUGUAGAGGUUCUCUGACGGUUCUAUAGAGGUUCUCUGACGGUUCUAUAGAGGUUCUCUGAUGGUUCUGUACAGGUUCUCUGACGGUUCUAUAGAGGUUCUCUGACGGUUCUGUAGAGGUUCUCUGACGGUUCUGUACAGGUUCUCUGACGGUUCUAUAGAGGUUCUCUGACGGUUCUAUAGAGGUUCUCUGAUGGUUCUGUACAGGUUCUCUGACGGUUCUAUAGAGGUUCUCUGACGGUUCUAUAGAGGUUCUCUGACGGUUCUAUAGAGGUUCUCUGACGGUUCUGUACAGGUUCUCUGACGGUUCUAUAGAGGUUCUCUGACGGUUCUGUAGAGGUUCUCUGACGGUUCUAUAGAGGUUCUCUGACGGUUCUGUACAGGUUCUCUGACGGUUCUAUAGAGGUUCUCUGACGGUUCUGUACAGGUUCUCUGACGGUUCUAUAGAGGUUCUCUGACGGUUCUAUAGGGUUAAACGGGGAUAUAAGUCGUUUUUCUAACG